rnacentral:rRNA from 1 species
CUGGAUGGUAGUGUAUUGGACUACCAUGGCAGUGACGGGUAACGGAGAAUUAGGGUUCGAUUCCGGAGGAGGGAGCCUGAGAAGACGGCUACCACAUUUUAAGGAAGGCAGCAGGCGCGCAAAUUACCCCAAUCCUAAUUCAGGGGAGGUAGUGACAAGAAAAUAACAACAACGGGCUUUGUCUCGUUGAUUGGAAUGAGCACAAUGUAAAAGUUUUAGCUAGGACCCACUGGAGGGCAAGUCUGGUGCCAGCAGCCGCGGUAAUUCCCAACUCCCAGUAGCGUAUAUUAAAGUUGUUGCAGUUAAAAAGCUCGUAGUUGGACUUGCACUCCCUUUUGGAGCAGCCUGGCAACUCUGCAUGUCCUUGAUUGGAUGGCAGAGACCUGCGGGCCCUUUACCUUGAGAAAACUAGAGUGUUUAAGGCAGGCCACGCCUGAAUACUGCAGCUGGGAAUAAUGCAUCACGACUGUCUUGGCGAGGCAGCUCUACACUUUUAAUAGGAACGGUUGGGGGCAUUCGUACUCAGCAGUCAGAGGUGAAAUUCUUGGAUUUGCUGAAGACGGACUAGUGCGAAAGCAUUUGCCAAGGAUGUUUUCAUUAAUCAAGAACGAAAGUUAAGGGAUCAAAGACGAUCAGAUACCGUC